UACGGAGGGUGCAAGCGUUAUCCGGAUUUACUGGGUUUAAAGGGUGCGUAGGUGGGCAGGUAAGUCAGUGGUGAAAUCUCCGGGCUUAACCCGGAAACUGCCAUUGAUACUAUCUGUCUUGAAUAUCCUGGAGGUAAGCGGAAUAUGUCAUGUAGCGGUGAAAUGCUUAGAUAUGACAUAGAACACCCAUUGCGAAGGCAGCUUACUACGGGAUUAUUGACACUGAGGCACGAAAGCGAGGGGAUCAAACAGG
rnacentral:rRNA from 1 species